rnacentral:rRNA from 1 species
GACGAACGCUGGCGGCGUGCUUAACACAUGCAAGUCGAACGGAAGGGCCCUGCUUUUGUGGGGUGCUCGAGUGGCGAACGGGUGAGUAACACGUGAGUAACCUGCCCUUGACUUUGGGAUAACUUCAGGAAACUGGGGCUAAUACCGGAUAGGAGCUCCUGCUGCAUGGUGGGGGUUGGAAAGUUUCGGCGGUUGGGGAUGGACUCGCGGCUUAUCAGCUUGUUGGUGGGGUAGUGGCUUACCAAGGCUUUGACGGGUAGCCGGCCUGAGAGGGUGACCGGCCACAUUGGGACUGAGAUACGGCCCAGACUCCUACGGGAGGCAGCAGUGGGGAAUAUUGCACGAUGGGCGGAAGCCUGAUGCAGCGACGCCGCGUGCGGGAUGACGGCCUUCGGGUUGUAAACCGCUUUCGCCUGUGACGAAGCGUGAGUGACGGUAAUGGGUAAAGAAGCACCGGCUAACUACGUG